rnacentral:rRNA from 1 species
GACGGAGGAUGCAAGUGUUAUCCGGAAUCACUGGGCGUAAAGCGUCUGUAGGUGGUUUAAAAAGUCCACUGUUAAAGGUUGAAGCUUAACUUCAAAAAUGCCGUGGAAACUUUUAAACUUGAGUAUGAUAGGGGUAGAGGGAAUUUCCAGUGGAGCGGUGAAAUGCGUAGAUAUUGGAAAGACACCGAUGGCGAAGGCACUCUACUGGGCCAUUACUGACACUGAGAGACGAAAGCUAGGGGAGCAAAUGGG